AAGUCUCCCUUCCUUCCUUCCUUCCUUCCUUCCUUCCUUCCUUCCUUCCUUCCUUCCUUCCUUCCUUCCUUCCUUCCUUCCUUCCUUCCUUCCUUCCUUCCUUCCUUCCUUCCUUCCUUCCUUCCUUCCUUCCUUCCUUCCUUCCUUCCUUCCUUUUCUUCCUUCUUUUCUUUCUCUCUUCCUUCCUUCCUUCCUUCCUUCCUUCCUUCCUUCCUUCCUUCCUUCCUUCCUUCCUUUCCUUCCUUCUUUCUUUCUUCUGUCUAUCUACUGAGUCUAUAUACCUCUAUUCAUCCAUUUAUGUCUCUAUCAUCUAUUGAUCUAUAUCCAUCUGUGUAUCCAUUUAUCUGUCUGUUAGUCUGCCUGCUUGCUUGCUUCACCUGUCUGUUUGUAUAUUCAUCUAUCCAUCUGACCAUCCAUCUAUUUAUUUCACUAUCUAUGUAUGUAUAUAUAAGUUUACAUACACAUGCACAUGGACACACAUUCACACACACAUAUAUGUAUAUAUAAUAAAUUGCCAAGUUAGGACUUGAACCCGAAGUCUUUGACGCCAAAGCACAAUGCUUUGCCCACUGUACUUCCUUGCCUUAUAAAAUAUGUCUUUUCCUCCUACCCAGUGAAUGGUGUGUGUGUUUUUUUUCCCAUACUGACAAUUCCAUAAUAGUAUGAUGUUGUAGCUGCUGAAUGGGUAGAUAAGGAUGAUGUCAACUGAAUAAGCUACAGUUACCUGGAAUGUAAUUACUCCCCCUGCCUAUUCCUUCGUGACAGAUGAUAACUCUAUGGAUUUGGAGCCUCUCACAUUUUUUCAGACACAUUUUACAUUUUAUUUUCUCAUGAUAAGAGUCAGUGUGGCACAGAGUGACAUAAGAUUGAGUGCUGGGCUUGCAGUCAGGAAUAUUGGGUUCAAAUCACACUGCUAAGAGUUACUAGCCUAGUGUGAGUUUUUUUGGUUGUGUAACCUCUCCAUUGCUCCGCACAGUCCCCAGGAUUUAUCGCUGUCAAAGGCAGAGCUCAUUCUUUGUUAGUGAAAGGAGUUCCUGAGUCGUCUUCCCCCAAAUCAGAGAUCCUUCAUGCAUUCUAGUAUUUUCCUAUCAACAAUAGCAUUUCCUUCCUUUUCUCUUUUGGGGCUUCUGAAAGGACAAAAUAAGAAGACUGUAGGGGGCAGCUGGGUAGCUCAGUGGAUUAAGAGCCAGUCCUAGAGACGGGAGGUCCUAGGUUCAAAUCUGGCCUCAGACACUUCCCAGCUGUGUGACCCUGGGCAAGUCACUUGACCCCCAUUGCCUAGCCCUUACCACUCUUCUGCCUUGGAGCCAAUACACAGUAUUGAUUCCAAGACGGAAGGUAAGGGUUUAAAAAAAAAUAAGAAGACUGUAAAUGGAAAUUUAGAAGCUAGUGAAGAAUUUUGGUAGGAGCUAUGCAGAAACAACCAAUCACUUCUUGUGGUGCCUCUGAGGAGACAUGGAUUUGAAUCUUAGCAAAAUUGGAGGAAGGGAGGGAAACUGAGCCCAUUUCAAAGGUGCCUCGACCAGCCUUGUCUUAGAUUCCUAAAGGUUCAGGAACACAACUUGAUCCUAACCAGCAUUCCCACAAGAGUUUGGGGCGGGGGUGGGGGGUGGAAAUUGCCCUUCAAUGUCCUUGUCACAUGACUUUCCCCAAGUCCCAAUGAAUGAGUAAAAAAGAGACUUGGAAAAACAAAUAAACAAAGACACCAGAGAAGAAGGAAGAGGAAA
ensembl:lncRNA